CUUGUGGACUAUCACACCAACUGUAUUAGCGAGCUUCGCGCGAGGCAGGAUAGGGAGAAGCAAGAA
rfam:Lactobacillus mixtipabuli DNA, scaffold: sequence01, strain: IWT30.